GUUUGUAAAUAAAACUUGUGCGGCAUUAUUUGUAGAAUAAAAGACAAUGACACGUUCGUGCUAUAGACCUUUGGUGCCCCGGUCAUCGAACAACUCCGUUGAUAAUCGGGAAGCCGGGACGACUUCACCGCCAGGCGAGCCGUUGGUGCGCGCGCCGAUCGGCAAGCCGCGAUGUCCACCAGCCAUCUCACGCCUGCGCGUUGAAAAGGUGGAAGGCGGGCUAGCGGUCGCCGGAGUCGUCGUUGCCGCCAACUGUCAAAUAGUGCUACCGAUAUUCGGUUUCCUCUUCAUGCUUGUUGGUUGCGUGCUCACCGCGGCAUCAUAUCGCGGUUGUGGCGAGAACGAGGAGCCAGAUCAUUACGCGGCUCGGAUCGCGUUCACAGGCAACUCGAGAGUACUUGGCCCCGUUUGCAUCGUCGCGGGUGCUCUCAUGACUAUUGCUGGCGUCGUCCUUUGCAUACUAAUGAGAGCAGCUCAACGUCGACAACGGAGAUUAGCUUUCCAUUGCCCUAUUCAUGGUGAUUUCUACCCGCUCAGUCCACAAAAUUCAAGAAAAUAUUCUCGUAGUCCCACGGGACUAUGGCGCUGGUUACGCAGUUGGUUGGGGAUGGUGGAAGAAGGCGAGACUCCGCGCUGUCCACGAUCAGCCGAGCCCGCAUCACCAGCCCGCGCUGACGCACCCUGUCCCCCUCCUUUACCUUUCCUCGUGCCAUCUGAUUCGGUCGUGGGAAUGGCUUCAGUGUUAGGAGCACCUCUAAGUCCGGAACAAACAUUUGGGUCCAUCAAGUCGCUGGCUAUAUCGAGAGAAGUCGCCAGUUUUCCACUGUCACGUUCACCAACCCCACCACCUUUGAGUUGUCCUCCUUUCAAAGAGGAAUCAAGGAAUCAGAACGACAAUAUCCCGAAUGCAAUCAUAACUCGUCCGGAUUUCGACUGCGGCUCGCCAAACUGCAACUACAGAGUCGUCGAAUGCAAACUCACUACUACAGACGAAAUAAGUCGCAGUGCGCCUUUCCCUGCAACCGCUCACAAGAUCUCAGAUAAUAUACAGACUAGACCAAACACAGUAUCUAUAACUAUACCCGAUGAGGGCAAAGGUUAAUUUAUGUAUAGCUGAAGUCAGUUGUUAUAUUCUAUAUUUAAAACAAUUACUUCAUGUAUGUGCAAGGGAUGCAUAAGCACUGUUGCCGUUCAGAUUACUGUCAGAAAUUAGGUAGUGAACAUUAGUCUCAGAAUGACCGUAAAAACCUUACUGGCUGGAUUAGUUGAACGCUGAUGGUAUCCAUAAAAACUAGUAAAAUUUUAUCACUUUAAAAUCACGCUUCUUACAUUGUAAUACGUGCCUGCUCAAACUGAUCACAUUUGUCUUCCCCUACCACGCGCUCACCUCUAUUUAAACUUCCUAAUUUGGAAACUUUAAAACACAUAAAACCGAACUAUUAAGCCUAUUACAGACGAUGAUACUUUAACAGUUACUCCUCAAACAAUUCCCAACAUCUACAUUUUAUACCCGUAAUGAUAAAAGACAUACGAGAAAUUAACACGCCUAAAUAAAAACGACACUUUUGUAAACAAUAAAAUAAACAAGGCGUCUCACGGCUAUGCCACACGGAGGGAAAAUACCUUAAAUACCGUAGAUAGAAAAUUUUACUGAAAACAGAUUUAAUUUUGAUUUUAAUAACAAUUGUGAAAAAAAAGCACCUGUAAUUUACUAUACUGAUCCAAACCCUCAAUCAUAAGGAUUGUUUUCUUCUAAAUAAUAUAUCAUCUUAAAUAAAAGGACGACCAUUUAAUUUAACGUUUAAUUUGAAAUGUUGUUCAGGAAAAUUAAUAGCUUUUUUCUGACUGGCUGGUUCCAGUCCAAUCAGAACGAAGGAAUUUUUCUUUAAGUUUCGAUCUUUGCGUCAAUGAUUGCUAACAAGAAACUAGUGGAAUACUUACACAAAAAGUGUAUAUAAAUAAAGAUGCAUGAGGAUUGGUCGUCUGAGAUAGGCUUGCGUUUGGUAUAUAGAGCAGCAAGUUAAUUAACCAUUUCCGCAUUUAUCCAAGUAGUUUCCAUUUUAUGUACACACGUCAUUGUAACAUUCAAUCGAUUUCAUAUUUUGUAAAUAUCGAAAAUGAAAGACAAUUUUUUUCCUUUAAAUAACUAAGUAUGUACCUACAAUAAUGUUUAAAUUGUCUAUACAGUAAUAAUCAGUAUGUAGCAAUAAUUGGCGCCGAAUGAAUGUAUGUUUGAUUGAGAACAUCAUUUCGACGCGAAUGAGAUGUUUGUCUUAUAAAUAUUUUUGCUUGUUUUUAACAUCAGUUGUAACAGUGUCGUAAUGCUCAUUAUAUUAUUAGGAUUCUAGUCGUUACUCGAUCAUACCUAACAUUAUUCUGAUGUAAAGAAAAAAUUUAAACUAAUUAUCUAUAAUAUUGAUUUCGGCUCAGUAGGAUUACCCCUCUUUCUAUUUAGUACUCUUAAAUUAAAUUAUCUAUGGUUUUAUUUUUUCAUGAGAAAAUUUAGAAUAAGUACGUUAUUAAGAGUACAUAAAACACGUAUCCUAGGUGUAUAGGCCGAAAUGUGAUAUUUUUUGUUUAUUUUAACAUUAAUAAAUGUUUACUUUUGUACAAAACAGUUGGAACGGAAUCGUAAAUUUUAAUAUUUUAAAAAUAAUGGGAGUUAUAUCAAUCAUAUCAUUAUUUUGGUGAAAGAGCCAAACGGAGAUGCCAAAAUAUACAGUCAUCGCGUCCAUGUGUAUUUUGUGGUUGCUUUUUCUGUAAUACACUAAAAUAAUUGUGCUCACAAAAGACAAUUUAGUAGGAGGCAAGAGUGUAGUGUUAAUGGAUGUAGUCCGCAUAUAUAAACUUCUUAGACUAAACCUAAUGGUAGAUACAAUAUUUAACAGUUUAUAAGUUUGUGAUGAAGGCAUUGAGCUACAAGGCAUUUAUUGGCCAAGUUAUUCAAA